AGAGUUUGAUCAUGGCUCAGAACGAACGCUGGCGGCGUGGAUAAGACAUGCAAGUCGAACGGGAGUCAUUGGGUAGCAAUAUUCGGUGGUUCUAGUGGCGAAAGGGUGCGUAACACGUGGCUACCUACCUUGAAGUGGGGGAUAGCUCGACGAAAGUCGGAUUAAUACCGCAUGUGAUAGCUAUAUUAAAGCUGGGGAUCGUAAGACCUGGCGCUUCAAGAUGGGGCUGCGGCCUAUCAGCUAGUUGGCGGGGUAACAGCCCACCAAGGCAAUGACGGGUAGCUGGUCUGAGAGGACGACCAGCCACACUGGAACUGAGACACGGUCCAGACACCUACGGGUGGCAGCAGUCGAGGAUUUUUCUCAAUGGGCGAAAGCCUGAAGGAGCGACGCCGCGUGGGGGAUGAAGGUCUUCGGAUUGUAAACCCCUGUCAUGCGGGAUCAAUGCUCACGACCCAACACGUCGUGAGUUGAUAGUACUGCAAGAGGAAGACGUGGCUAACUCUGUGCCAGCAGCCGCGGUAAUACAGAGACGUCAAGCGUUGUUCGGAUUCAUUGGGCGUAAAGGGCGCGUAGGCGGUCGGGUAAGUCGGAUGUGAAAUCUCACAGCCUAACUGUGAUAGGUCAUUCGAAACUGCUCGGCUCGAGGACUGGAGGGGAGACUGGAAUAGCUGGUGUAGCGGUGAAAUGCGUAGAGAUCAGCUAGAACACCGGUGGCGAAGGCGAGUCUCUGGACAGUUCCUGACGCUGAGGCGCGAAAGCCAGGGGAGCAAACGGGAUUAGAUACCCCGGUAGUCCUGGCCCUAAACGGUGCUCACUGGGUGUGCGGGGAGUCGACCCCCUGCGUGCCGCAGCUAACGCGUUAAGUGAGCCGCCUGGGAAGUACGGUCGCAAGAUUAAAACUCAAAUGAAUUGACGG
rnacentral:rRNA from 1 species